UACGUAGGGUGCGAGCGUUGUCCGGAAUUAUUGGGCGUAAAGGGCUCGUAGGCGGUCUGUCGCGUCGAAAGUGAAAACCCAGGGCUUAACCCUGGGCCUGCUUCCGAUACGGGCAGACUAGAGGUAUGCAGGGGAGAACGGAAUUCCUGGUGUAGCGGUGAAAUGCGCAGAUAUCAGGAGGAACACCGGUGGCGAAGGCGGUUCUCUGGGCAUUACCUGACGCUGAGGAGCGAAAGCGUGGGGAGCAAACAGG
rnacentral:rRNA from 1 species